rnacentral:rRNA from 1 species
AGUGAACGCUGGCGGUAGGCCUAACACAUGCAAGUCGAACGGCAGCACAGUAAGAGCUUGCUCUUACGGGUGGCGAGUGGCGGACGGGUGAGGAAUACAUCGGAAUCUACUUUUUCGUGGGGGAUCACGUAGGGAAACUUACGCUAAUACCGCAUACGCCCUACGGGUGAAAGCAGGGGAUCUUCGGACCUUGCGCGAUUGAAUUAGCCGAUGUCGGAUUAGCUAGUUGGCGGGGUAAAGGCCCACCAAGGCGACGAUCCGUAGCUGGUCUGAGAGGAUGGUCAGCCACACGGGAACUGAGACACGGUCCAUACUCCUACGGGAGGCAGCAGUGGGGAAUAGUGGACAAUGGGCGCAAGCCUGAUCCAGCCAGACCGCGUGGGUGAAGAAGGCCUUCGGGGUGUAAAGCCCUUUUGUUGGGAAAGAAAAGCAGCAGGUUAAUACCCCGCUGUUCUGACGGUACCCAAAGAAGAAGCACCGGCUAACUUCGUG